AGCAGUAGCCGCGGGAAUACGUAUGUCACAAGCGUUAUCCGGAUUUAUUGGGCGUAAAGAGCGUCUAGGUGGUUAUGUAAGUCUGAUGUGAAAAUGCAGGGCUCAACUCUGUAUUGCGUUGGAAACUGUGUAACUAGAGUACUGGAGAGGUAAGCGGAACUACAAGUGUAGAGGUGAAAUUCGUAGAUAUUUGUAGGAAUGCCGAUGGGGAAGCCAGCUUACUGGACAGAUACUGACGCUGAAGCGCGAAAGCGUGGGUAGCAAACAGGAUUAGAUACCCCAGUAGUCCCUGUCUCUUAUACA
rnacentral:rRNA from 1 species